AUUGAACGCUGGCGGCAUGCCUUACACAUGCAAGUCGAACGGUAACGGGCCUUCGGGUGCCGACGAGUGGCGAACGGGUGAGUAAUACAUCGGAACGUGCCCGAUCGUGGGGGAUAACGAGGCGAAAGCUUUGCUAAUACCGCAUACGAUCUACGGAUGAAAGCAGGGGACCGCAAGGCCUUGCGCGGACGGAGCGGCCGAUGGCAGAUUAGGUAGUUGGUGGGAUAAAAGCUUACCAAGCCGACGAUCUGUAGCUGGUCUGAGAGGAUGAUCAGCCACACUGGAACUGAGACACGGCCCAGACUCCUACGGGAGGCAGCAGUGGGGAAUUUUGGACAAUGGGCGCAAGCCUGGUCCAGCCAUGCCGCGUGCAGGAUGAAGGCCUUCGGGUUGUAAACUGCUUUUGUACGGAACGAAAAGCCUUCUUUUAAUACAGGAGGGUCAUGACGGUACCGUAAGAAUAAGCACCGGCUAACUACGUG
rnacentral:rRNA from 1 species